rnacentral:misc_RNA from 1 species
GAUGAAGAACGCAGCGAAAUGCGAUAAGUAAUGUGAAUUGCAGAAUUCAGUGAAUCAUCGAAUCUUUGAACGCACAUUGCGCCCCCUGGUAUUCCGGGGGGCAUGCCUGUUCGAGCGUCAUUUCACCACUCAAGCCUCGCUUGGUAUUGGGCAACGCGGUCCGCCGCGUGCCUCAAAUCGACCGGCUGGGUCUUCUGUCCCCUAAGCGUUGAGGAAACUAUUCGCUAAAGGGUGUUCGGGAGGCUACGCCGUAAAACAACCCCAUUUCUAAGGUUGACCUCGGAUCAGGUAGGGAUACCCGCUGAACUUAAGCAUAUCAAUAAGCGGAAGA